rnacentral:rRNA from 1 species
CCUACGGGUGGCUGCAGUGGGGAAUUUUGGACAAUGGGGGAAACCCUGAUCCAGCCAUGCCGCGUGCGGGAAGAAGGCCUUCGGGUUGUAAACCGCUUUUGUCGGGGAAGAAACGCGCCGAGCUAAUACCUUGGCGUAAUGACGGUACCCGAAGAAUAAGCACCGGCUAACUACGUGCCAGCAGCCGCGGUAAUACGUAGGGUGCAAGCGUUAAUCGGAAUUACUGGGCGUAAAGCGUGCGCAGGCGGCUUUGCAAGACAGAUGUGAAAUCCCCG